rnacentral:rRNA from 1 species
GAUGAACGCUAGCUACAGGCUUAACACAUGCAAGUCGAGGGGCAGCAUUUCAGUUUGCUUGCAAACUGGAGAUGGCGACCGGCGCACGGGUGAGUAACACGUAUCCAACCUGCCGAUAACUCGGGGAUAGCCUUUCGAAAGAAAGAUUAAUACCCGAUGGUAUAAUCAGACCGCAUGGUCUUGUUAUUAAAGAAUUUCGGUUAUCGAUGGGGAUGUGUUCCAUUAGGCAGUUGGUGAGGUAACGGCUCACCAAACCUUCGAUGGAUAGGGGUUCUGAGAGGAAGGUCCCCCACAUUGGAACUGAGACACGGUCCAAACUCCUACGGGAGGCAGCAGUGAGGAAUAUUGGUCAGUGGGCGCAGGCCUGAACCAGCCAAGUAGCGUGAAGGAUGACUGCCCUAUGGGUUGUAAACUUCUUUUAUAUGGGAAUAAAGUUUUCCACGUGUGGAAUUUUGUAUGUACCAUAUGAAUAAGGAUCGGCUAACUCCGUGCCAGCAGCCGCGGUAAUACGGAGGAUCCGAGCGUUAUCCGGAUUUAUUGGGUUUAAAGGGAGCGUAGGUGGACAGUUAAGUCAGUUGUGAAAGUUUGCGGCUCAACCGUAAAAUUGCAGUUGAUACUGGCUGUCUUGAGUACAGUAGAGGUGGGCGGAAUUCGUGGUGUAGCGGUGAAAUGCUUAGAAAUCACGAAGAACUCCGAUUGCGAAGGCAGCUCACUGGACUGCAACUGACACUGAUGCUCGAAAGUGUGGGUAUCAAACAGGAUUAGAUACCCUGGUAGUCCACACAGUAAACGAUGAAUACUCGCUGUUUGCGAUAUACAGUAAGCGGCCAAGCGAAAGCAUUAAGUAUUCCACCUGGGGAGUACGCCGGCAACGGUGAAACUCAAAGGAAUUGACGGGGGCCCGCACAAGCGGAGGAACAUGUGGUUUAAUUCGAUGAUACGCGAGGAACCUUACCCGGGCUUAAAUUGCAUUUGAAUAUAUUGGAAACAGUAUAGCCGUAAGGCAAAUGUGAAGGUGCUGCAUGGUUGUCGUCAGCUCGUGCCGUGAGGUGUCGGCUUAAGUGCCAUAACGAGCGCAACCCUUAUCUUUAGUUACUAACAGGUCAUGCUGAGGACUCUAGAGAGACUGCCGUCGUAAGAUGUGAGGAAGGUGGGGAUGACGUCAAAUCAGCACGGCCCUUACGUCCGGGGCUACACACGUGUUACAAUGGGGGGUACAGAAGGCAGCUACCUGGUGACAGGAUGCUAAUCCCAAAAGCCUCUCUCAGUUCGGAUCGAAGUCUGCAACCCGACUUCGUGAAGCUGGAUUCGCUAGUAAUCGCGCAUCAGCCAUGGCGCGGUGAAUACGUUCCCGGGCCU